AGGCUUAACACAUGCAAGUCGAGCGCGUAGCAAUACGAGCGGCAGACGGGUGAGUAACGCGUGGGAAUCUACCCUUUUCUACGGAAUAACGCAGGGAAACUUGUGCUAAUACCGUAUGAGCCCUUCGGGGGAAAGAUUUAUCGGGAAAGGAUGAGCCCGCGUUGGAUUAGCUAGUUGGUGGGGUAAAGGCCUACCAAGGCGACGAUCCAUAGCUGGUCUGAGAGGAUGAUCAGCCACAUUGGGACUGAGACACGGCCCAA
rnacentral:rRNA from 3 species